rnacentral:rRNA from 1 species
UAGGGAAUCUUCCACAAUGGACGCAAGUCUGAUGGAGCAACGCCGCGUGAGUGAAGAAGGUUUUCGGACCGUAAAGCUCUGUUGUUGGUGAAGAAGGAUAGAGGUAGUAACUGGCCUUUAUUUGACGGUAAUCAACCAGAAAGUCACGGCUAACUACGUGCCAGCAGCCGCGGUAAUACGUAGGUGGCAAGCGUUGUCCGGAUUUAUUGGGCGUAAAGCGAGCGCAGGCGGAAGAAUAAGUCUGAUGUGAAAGCCCUCGGCUUAACCGAGGAAUUGCAUCGGAAACUGUUUUCUUGAGUGCAGAAGAGGAGAGUAGAACUCCAUGUGUAGCGGUGGAAUGCGUAGAUAUAUGGAAGAAUACCAGUGGCGAAGGCGGCUCUCUGGUCUGCAACUGACGCUGAGGCUCGAAAGCAUGGGUAGCGAACAGGACUAGAUACCCUGGUAGUCCAUGCCGUAAACGAUGAGUGCUAAGUGUUGGGAGGCUUCCGCCUCUCAGUGCUGCAGCUAACGCAUUAAGCACUCCGCCUGGGGGAGUACGACCGCAAGGUUGAAAC